rnacentral:misc_RNA from 1 species
AACGCAUCUUGCGCUCCUUGGUAUUCCGAGGAGCAUGCCUGUUUGAGUGUCGUGAAUACUCUCAAUUUCAUUCUUUUUGUUUGAAAUUGGAUUUGGAUGUUGUUGUUGGUGCUUAUAGUAGGGGCUACAUACAACUCGUCCUAAAUGCAUUAGCGAUCUGGCUUGAUCACACACAAUGUGAUACAUCUUAUGUGCAUUGUUACAGUCAAGUCAAGACUGCUUUCCAGGCCAUCACACAUGCAUAUAUAUGCAUGUCAUUUGACCUCAAAUCAGGUAGGACUACCCGCUGAACUUAA